AGGACGAACGCUGGCGGCGUGCUUAACACAUGCAAGUGGAGCGACGAACCAGGCUUCGGCCUGGGGCAAAGCCGCGAACGGGUGAGUAACACGUGGGUAACCUGCCCCGAUAACUGGGACAACCCGGGGAAACCCGGGCUAAUACCGGAUGAGCUCUCUUCACCUAAGUGGAGUGAGGAAAGGUAGCUUCGGCUUCCGUAUCGGGAUGGGCCCGCGGCGCAUUAGCUUGUUGGUGGGGUAAUGGCCUACCAAGGCGACGACGGGUA
rnacentral:rRNA from 1 species